ACGGAGGAUGCAAGCGUUAUCCGGAUUUAUUAGGUUUAAAGGGUGCGUAGGCGGAAACUUAAGUCAGUGGUGAAAUCCUGCAGCUUAACUGUAGUUAGCCAUUGAUACUGGGUAUCUUGAGUUCGGUUGAGGUAGGCGGAAUGUGUUGUGUAGCGGUGAAAUGCAUAGAUAUAACACAGAACACCGAUUGCGAAGGCAGCUUACUAAACCGUUACUGACGCUGAGGCACGAAAGCGUGGGGAUCGAACAG
rnacentral:rRNA from 1 species